UAGAGAGAUAAAGUGAGAGAGAGGAGAGAUAGAGAGAGAAAGUAGAGAAUCAACCAAGUUUAAGGCCCCGAAUCCCGAAGCUCAUGAAGGAUAAAGUGUAGUACAAGUUGUUGUCGUCAUUUUAAGCUAAAGAUCGGACUUGGGGGUGUUGAUUUCGUGGUGACUACCCAAAAGAUUGAAGUUGAAGGGGGUUGAAGAACAUUGUGAUAAGCUCAAAAGCGGGAAGUUAAGGUACAAACUUACAGGACGACGCCUCUGCUCAUUAGGAUCUGCACGUACCAGCUUAUUGGUGAGCCCCAUCUCAUUCGGGGUUUACUUAAUUGUUGUUUAUGAUUAGUUAUGCAUCUGAGGUAUGCUGGGGGCCUUGUCCCAGUAAGUAUGUAUUCCAAUCAGACUCAUGAUAGAGGUUUC